UGGGGAAUAUUGGGCAAUGGGCGCAAGCCUGACCCAGCAACGCCGCGUGAAGGAAGAAGGCUUUCGGGUUGUAAACUUCUUUUAUCAGGGACGAAGCAAGUGACGGUACCUGAUGAAUAAGCCACGGCUAACUACGUGCCAGCAGCCGCGGUAAUACGUAGGUGGCGAGCGUUAUCCGGAUUUACUGGGUGUAAAGGGCGUGUAGGCGGGCUUGCAAGUCAGAUGUGAAAUUUCCAGGGCUCAACCCUGGAACUGCAUUUGGAAACUGUAGGUCUUGAGUGCUGGAGAGGCAAUCGGAAUUCCGUGUGUAGCGGUGAAAUGCGUAGAUAUACGGAGGAACACCAGUGGCGAAGGCGGAUUGCUGGACAGUAACUGACGCUGAGGCGCGAAAAGCGUGGGGAGCAAACAGGAUUAGAUACCC
rnacentral:rRNA from 1 species